rnacentral:lncRNA from 1 species
GUUGGGGGUUAGAGGUAGUACUGGGGUUAGAGGUAGUACCGGGGCUGGGGUUAGAGGUAGUACUGGGGCUGGGGUUAGUGGUAGUACCGGGACUGGGGUUAGAGGUAGUGCUGGGGUUAGAGGUAGUACCGGGGCUGGGGUUAGAGGUAGUACUGGGGCUGGGGUUAGAGGUAGUACCAGGGCUGGGGUUAGAGGUAGUACCGGGGCUGGGGUUAGAGGUAGUACCGGGGCUGGGGUUAGAGGUAGUACCGGGGCUGGGGUUAGAGGUAGUGUUGGGGGUUAGAG